CUGGCGGCGUGCCUAAUACAUGCAAGUCGAACGGUCUUUUCUAUGGAAGCUUGCUUCCGCUGAGAAGAUAGUGGCGAACGGGUGAGUAACACGUGGGUAACCUGCCCAUAAGAGGGGGAUAACAUCCGGAAACGGGUGCUAAUACCGCAUAGUUUUUCUUGAUCGCAUGAUCGGGAAAGGAAAGACGGCCUUUGUGCUGUCGCUUAUGGAUGGACCCGCGGCGUAUUAGUUAGUUGGUGAGGUAACGGCUCACCAAGACGAUGAUACGUAGCCGACCUGAGAGGGUGAUCGGCCACAUUGGGACUGAGACACGGCCCAAACUCCUACGGGAGGCAGCAGUAGGGAAUCUUCCGCAAUGGACGAAAGUCUGACGGAGCAACGCCGCGUGAGUGAAGAAAAGGGUUUUCGGAUCGUAAAACUCUGUUGUCAGAGAAGAACAAGUUGGAGAGUAACUGCUCCAGCCUUGACGGUAUCUGACCAGAAAGCCACGGCUAACUACGUGCCAGCCGCUGC
rnacentral:rRNA from 1 species